rnacentral:rRNA from 1 species
CCUACGGGAGACAGCAGUGGGGAAUAUUGGGCAAUGGGCGCAAGCCUGACCCAGCAACGCCGCGUGAAGGAAGAAGGCUUUCGGGUUGUAAACUUCUUUUGUCAGGGACGAAGCAAGUGACGGUACCUGACGAAUAAGCCACGGCUAACUACGUGCCAGCAGCCGCGGUAAUACGUAGGUGGCAAGCGUUAUCCGGAUUUAUUGGGUGUAAAGGGCGUGUAGGCGGGAAUGCAAGUCAGAUGUGAAAGCUAUGGGCUCAACCCAUAGCCUGCAUUUGAAACUGUAUUUCUUGAGUGCUGGAGAGGCAAUCGGAAUUCCGGGUGUAGCGGUGAAAUGCGUAGAUAUACGGAGGAACACCAGUGGCGAAGGCGGAUUGCUGGACAGUAACUGACGCUGAGGCGCGAAAGCGUGGGGAGCAAACAGGAUUAGAGACCCCAGUAGGC